rnacentral:rRNA from 1 species
GACGAACGCUGGCGGCGUGCCUAAUACAUGCAAGUUGAGCGCUGAAGGUUGGUACUUGUACCAACUGGAUGAGCAGCGAACGGGUGAGUAACGCGUGGGGAAUCUGCCUUUGAGCGGGGGACAACAUUUGGAAACGAAUGCUAAUACCGCAUAAAAACUUUAAACACAAGUUUUAAGUUUGAAAGAUGCAAUUGCAUCACUCAAAGAUGAUCCCGCGUUGUAUUAGCUAGUUGGUGAGGUAAAGGCCCACCAAGGCGAUGAUACAUAGCCGACCUGAUAGGGUGCUCGGCCCCAUUGGGACUGAGACACGGCCCAAACUCCUACGGGAGGCCGCAGUAGGGAAUCUUCGGCCAUGGACGAGAGUCUGACCGAGCAACGCCGCGUGAGUGAAGAAGGUUUUCGGAUCGUAAAACUCUGUUGGUAGAGAAGAACGUUGGUGAGAGUGGAAAGCUCAUCAAGUGACGGUAACUACCCAGAAAGGGACGGCUAACUACGUG